rnacentral:rRNA from 1 species
GAAUAUUGCGCAAUGGGCGAAAGCCUGACGCAGCAACGCCGCGUGUGUGAUGAAGGCUCUCGGGUCGUAAAGCACUGUCAGAAGGGAAGAAACAAAUGACGGUACCUUCAAAGGAAGCACCGGCUAACUCCGUGCCAGCAGCCGCGGUAAUACGGAGGGUGCAAGCGUUGUUCGGAAUCAUUGGGCGUAAAGCGCGCGCAGGGGGCUUGCCAAGUCUGAUGUGAAAGCCCGGGGCUCAACCUCGGAACUGCAUUGGAAACUGGUAGGCUUGAGUAUGUGAGGGGUUAGUGGAAUUCCUGGUGUAGGGGUGAAAUCCGUAGAGAUCAGGAGGAACACCGGUGGCGAAGGCGACUGACUGGAACAUAACUGACGCUGAGGCGCGAAAGCGUGGGUAGCAAACAGGA